rnacentral:rRNA from 1 species
AGAGUUUGAUCCUGGCUCAGAAUCAACGCUGGCGGCGUGCCUAACACAUGCAAGUCGCACGAGAAAGGGUAGCAAUACCUGAGUAAAGUGGCGCACGGGGUGAGUAACACGUGAAUGAUCUACCUCCGAGUGGGGAAUAACUGAGAGAAAUCUCAGCUAAUACCGCAUAACACUUACGAGUCAAAGCAGCAAUGCGCUUGGAGAGGAGUUCGCGGCCGAUUAGUUAGUUGGCGGGGUAAUGGCCCACCAAGACGAUGAUCGGUAUCCGGCCUGAGAGGGCGCACGGACACACUGGAACUGAAACACGGUCCAGACUCCUACGGGAGGCAGCAGUGGGGAAUUUUGCGCAAUGGGGGAAACCCUGACGCAGCAACGCCGCGUGGAGGAUGAAAUAUCUUGGUAUGUAAACUCCUUUCGAUGGGGAAGAUUAUGACGGUACCCAUAGAAGAAGCCCCGGCUAACUUCGUGCCAGCAGCCGCGGUAAUACGAGGGGGGCAAGCGUUGUUCGGAUUUAUUGGGCGUAAAGGGUGCGUAGGCGGUUUGAUAAGUCUGAUGUGAAAUCUAUGGGCUCAACCCAUAGUCUGCAUUAGAAACUGUCGGGCUUGAGUAUGGGAGAGGUGAGUGGAAUUUCCGGUGUAGCGGUGAAAUGCGUAGAUAUCGGAAGGAACACCUGUGGCGAAAGCGGCUCACUGGACCAUAACUGACGCUGAGGCGCGAAAGCCAGGGGAGCAAACAGGAUUAGAUACCCUAGUAGUCC